rnacentral:rRNA from 1 species
UACGUAGGGACCAAGCGUUGUUCGGAUUUACUGGGCGUAAAGGGCGCGUAGGCGGCUUGUCAAGUCACUUGUGAAAUCUCUGGGCUUAACCCAGAACGGCCAAGUGAAACUGACAUGCUAGAGUGCAGAAGGGGCAAUCGGAAUUCUUGGUGUAGCGGUGAAAUGCGUAGAUAUCAAGAGGAACACCUGAGGUGAAGACGGGUUGCUGGGCUGACACUGACGCUGAGGCGCGAAAGCGUGGGGAGCAAACAGG